rnacentral:rRNA from 1 species
AAUGAACGUUGGCGGCAUGCCUUACACAUGCAAGUCGAACGGCAGCACGGGAGCAAUCCUGGUGGCGAGUGGCGAACGGGUGAGUAAAGUAUCGGAACGUGCCCAGUCGUGGGGGAUAACGUAGCGAAAGUUACGCUAAUACCGCAUACGAUCUAUGGAUGAAAGCGGGGGAUCGCAAGACCUCGCGCGAUUGGAGCGGCCGAUAUCAGAUUAGGUAGUUGGUGGGGUAAAGGCCCACCAAGCCGACGAUCUGUAGCUGGUCUGAGAGGACGACCAGCCACACUGGGACUGAGACACGGCACAGACUCCUACGGGAGGCAGCAGUGGGGAAUUUUGGACAAUGGGCGAAAGCCUGAUCCAGCCAUGCCGCGUGCAGGAUGAAGGCCUUCGGGUUGUAAACUGCUUUUGUACGGAACGAAAAGGACUGCCCUAAUACGGUGGUCCCAUGACGGUACCGUAAGAAUAAGCACCGGCUAACUACGUGCCAGCCGCCGCAGUAAGAC